rnacentral:rRNA from 1 species
CGGACGGUGAGUAACGCGUGGGUAACCUGCCUCAUACAGGGGGAUAACAGUUAGAAAUGACUGCUAAUACCGCAUAAGCGCACAGGGAUGCAUGUCCUGGUGUGAAAAACUCCGGUGGUAUGAGAUGGACCCGCGUCUGAUUAGCUGGUUGGCGGGGUAACGGCCCACCAAGGCGACGAUCAGUAGCCGACCUGAGAGGGUGACCGGCCACAUUGGGACUGAGACACGGCCCAAACUCCUACGGAAGGCAGCAG